GACGAACGCUGGCGGCGUGCUUAACACAUGCAAGUCGAACGGAAAGGCCCUGCUUUUGUGGGGUGCUCGAGUUGCGAACGGGUGAGUAACACGUGAGUAACCUGCCCUUGACUUUGGGAUAACUUCAGGAAACUGGGGCUAAUACCGGAUAGGAGCUCCUGCUGCAUGGUGGGGGUUGGAAAGUUUCGGCGGUUGGUGAUGGACUCGCGGCGUAUCAGCUUGUUGGUGGGGUAGUGGCUUACCAAGGCUUUGACGGGUAGCCGGCCUGAGAGGGUGACCGGCCACACUGGAACUGAGAUACGGCACAGACUACUACGGGAGGCAGCAGUGGGGUAUAUUGCACAAUGGGCGGAACCCUGAUGCAGCCCCGCCGCGUGGGGGAUGACGGCAUUCGGGUUGUAAACCGCAUUCGCCUGUGACGAAGCGUGAAUGACGGUAAUGGGUAAAGAAGCACCGGCUAACUCCGUG
rnacentral:rRNA from 1 species